AUUGAACGCUGGCGGCAUGCUUUACACAUGCAAGUCGGACGGCAGCACAGAGAAGCUUGCUUCUUGGGUGGCGAGUGGCGAACGGGUGAGUAAUAUAUCGGAACGUACCGAGUAAUGGGGGAUAACUAAUCGAAAGAUUAGCUAAUACCGCAUAUUCUCUGAGGAGGAAAGCAGGGGACCUUCGGGCCUUGCGUUAUUCGAGCGGCCGAUAUCUGAUUAGCUAGUUGGUGGGGUAAAGGCCUACCAAGGCGACGAUCAGUAGCGGGUCUGAGAGGAUGAUCCGCCACACUGGGACUGAGACACGGCCCAGACUCCUACGGGAGGCAGCAGUGGGGAAUUUUGGACAAUGGGCGCAAGCCUGAUCCAGCCAUGCCGCGUGUCUGAAGAAGGCCUUCGGGUUGUAAAGGACUUUUGUCAGGGAAGAAAAGGCUGUUGCUAAUAUCGACAGCUGAUGACGGUACCUGAAGAAUAAGCACCGGCUAACUACGUGCCAGCAGCCGCGGUAAUACGUAGGGUGCGAGCGUUAAUCGGAAUUACUGGGCGUAAAGCGAGCGCAGACGGUUACUUAAGCAGGAUGUGAAAUCCCCGGGCUCAACCUGGGAACUGCGUUCUGAACUGGGUGACUAGAGUGUGUCAGAGGGAGGUAGAAUUCCACGUGUAGCAGUGAAAUGCGUAGAGAUGUGGAGGAAUACCGAUGGCGAAGGCAGCCUCCUGGGGAUAACACUGACGUUCAUGCUCGAAAGCGUGGGUAGCAAACAGG
rnacentral:rRNA from 1 species